rnacentral:lncRNA from 1 species
UUUUCAACUACAUUACAUCGAGGUGAUACAAGCCCUUGAAACGUCUUCCAGCCUCAGCUUAAACAACACACGGCUUAAAACAACAAAAGACGAUAACCCACACACUUUAAUGGUAGUCAAUUUUAAUGAUUAGACCGCCACCCAUGUGUCUCAGAAAAGUCCUUGGCCACCUGUACCAAGUACUGAGUAGCCUCUAUGACCGUAGGUCGCAACUCUGCCUUCUGUAAAAUAGUUCAUGUUCGAAGCCAGUGGGCAAUGGUGUAUAGAUAACCUGCAUAGGAGAAGAAUUGUUUUUCUUUUCAAAAACGAUAUCAUUCCUAUGUAACCAAAGAGACCAACAUGUUGUAGCCGCUCCUAGUAAGACGAUGUUUCUAAUAUUUCUAUCAAAACCACUACGCUAGAUGCCGAACAGAUUAACAAUGUUAUAUGGUUUAGAUAUCCCCAAGGUCAUGUGAAUCAAAGCUCAAAUCAUACGAUUGCUCGAAAAUCAAAAAAUAGGUGAUGAAUUGUCUCUAUUUCAUGACAGAAGCAACAUGUUCUGCUUCUUGCUAGCUGCGCUGUAAAGCCCAAAAUUGGUAUAAGGAAAAUAAUGAUAAUAAAAUAAAUAGAUAAAUAGAUAAGUGGGUGUUUUGGGGAUCCCUUGAUUUCCUUUUUAUUUUUCUUUACAUACUCAACUAAUGACAUUAAAUUAUGCAAAUAACAAAUAAAUAAAUAAAGAAAUGUGCACCUCAUGCUGAUGUUAUUUCUGUGAUGCAUCUUAUUUGAAUCAAGGAAUCAUAAUUUAAAUUGACCUCAAAUAAAAAUAUAAAACAAAGGGGAGAAAGGAAAUUUUAAUAAGUCAUUCCUUUCUUCGAUAUUUAAACAAUAGGGAGAAGAAUAAAUAAUAGUGAUAAAUAAAUAAUUUCAGUGCAAGUAGUAGAUGUGUUAGAAUUUGGUUUGAUGAUUAGAACCUAGAGAUUAAAACCAAAUUCGAAUUCGGUUUGAAUUUUUAUUUAAAACAGAAAUUUUAAAAGAAGAAUAAAAACAAAAAAAAGAGAAAACGCACCUGGGCUGAUUCUGGCGCCCUCGGCCCAUUUCCCCCUUCAUCCACCCGCGCAGCCCACCCAAGCUCCUGGCCUACUAAUACACUCGCGCUCGGCCCAAGGGGAAGAGAAUCACGUCGCGCCUGCAUUUCCAUUCGGUGGGACCAGUUUGUCUGUGAUACAUCGGCUGCCAUCGUGGGACCCACAUCCCAACUGCAUCUUCCUCCUUAUCGCAGCGAACAAAUGUUCCCCUUCUCUAGAGUUUGUUGCGAUUCUCCGUGUCCCGCCGUGCACGCACCGCAGCUUCGCUUCGCGCUCGCGCGCGGACUCGGGUUCACGGUGGGCCCCAUCGGUCGGAAGCAUCCCCAUAACAGAACCUCUCUGAACUUGACCGCGAAACACGGAGUCCGUCCGCGGUGCUCGGCACCUCCUGGCCGGAAUCCUUCGCCUCCCAAGAAUAAAUGUGUGGCCACCACGAACCCUGGACCCAACCAAUCGGGUGUUACCCCCAGCAGUUGACUAUUCUGGCCACCAUCGAUGUUGGCGGAGGGUGGAUGGGUUGCCGUCGCGCCGUCGUCGGCUAAUUGGAGACAUAGCGUUGCUGGGGGCUCGAUUGGUGCACAGUGGGGUUCGGCGAUAUGCAGGGAAGCUUAUGGGGGCGUUAGGGGAGACGGAAGGACCCUGUAGUCGCCGGAAUUGCUCUUCGAUGCCUCUGCUCCGCCGCGGGCCGUGCUGCACCGUGGCCGGUGCCCUCCACGCCGCGAUAACCGGUGAGACUUAUCUCUUUGUGCUCGUGAUCAUCAAGGCUCAAUGUAGCAACGUCCGAAUUGAAGAUCCAUCCGGGUUAUGGAUUUUUGGGGGGGAUCGGCCAUGGCACCGCCGCGUAAGCACUGGUGGCGCAGCCGUCCUCAGAUCGGUAGGUAGGAGAUAAGCUCACGACCCUCGGAUUUUGAGGCGACGAUGGAGAUUGGGUCUGGAGAACGGCUCGGCCAGGAUGGGUUGUGGACCGUGCGAACGCGGUUGGACGACUGCGAUUAAACCCUCGCGUACCGGUUCGGGGUCGCGUUGGGGUCGUUGGAUCUGAAUCCGGUGGCUCGAGUGCGAUCUCGGUUGUUUAAAAUCGUGGCCAUAGGUCUCCAAUCCGACGGCUAAAUGCGCAUACCGGUUUGAUGUGGCGCCAGAUAUGAUCUGGGCCCUCGGUCUUGAUCCAACGGAUGGGAAUCACCGAUACCCCUUCGCGAGCCAUCUUUACAUAAGAGACCCUAUGGAAUUUUGAAAUCAACCCUCCAUCCAUCCUAAGCCAAAACCAAUUGCAACUGAGCCCAGAAAAUUAUGCUUUUGCCCCUGCAUUCCGAGAAAAUUAUGUGCCUAGUCCAGGAUCUUUAGGAAAUCAGAAAUUAAUAAAGAAAAUGAAUUUUUGGUAUAAAAAUAAAUCUGGGAACUUGCUUAAUUCAUAUUAAAUUCAUUUUAACUCCAAAUUAACCCGUUCCGGUUCCUGUAAUUUCGUAUUAAUAUUGUUUAUCACCUAGUACCUUUGUUUAACCAGGAAACUUGAAUUAAAAUGGCUCGAUUGAAUUAACCUAUUCUAGGUGCUAAAUAAUUUCGAAAAUUCAUAAUUUAAUAACCGUAGCUCUGAAUUUAGUGGUUCUUGUUCCCACGAUCUCGUUACGACGCGUAGAUUAUUAUUACACAGUUUAUUCUUACGUUUGGUGUAAUGUUAAUUUUGCCUAUACACUGUUUGUUUGUAUUGCUACGAAUAGCAGUAAGGUCACGAGAAUCUCAAGAUCAUCCUGGUACCUGGAAUCUCAAGUCCCAGGCAAGUUGUGCCCUUGAUCACUUCUUUUUACCCACUCAUGUUCUGAUUAAUCAUAAUGAUCUGCAUAGGUUAAUUUUGAUGGGACCCAAUAGGUUACCCUAGUUUGUCUAUCUUUAUACCUUGUUUACCACUGAACUUUUUGGGUAGUACUUGCUAGUGCUUUAUGUGGUUUUGGGUAUGAAGAUACAUUAUUCAUGAUCACACUUUUAUUAUCUGUUUAUUAUUACUGUUCAUGAUAAGAUCAUUAUGUUAAUUGGAACAUGGAGCGACCACCCGGGAAAACAGUGCUACCACAAGGGUUUAAUGGGACGCCCUUGGCUGAUUAAUUAGGAAAGCUAGUGGAAGACUACCUUACCCGAAAGGGGCAAGGGCAGUAGGGGAGUGGUCAGUGUAGGGAGGUCCUUGGUUGAUUUUGCUGCGAUGGCGGUCAGGCAAGAACCCUGCAUUGGAGCUUCCUAUAAACUGUAGCGGGUUUUCUGAAGCUAGUGGAACUUUGUAAAGGCCUCGUAGUGUUACCCUGCCUCGCCUCCUCGGUAGAGGUGUAUGGGAAGUCGCGAUCCCUUGGCAGAUGGGUAACAUGACUUGUGGGUAAAGAUGCGCAACCUCUGCAGAGUGUAAAACUGGUAUACUUUAGCCGUGCUCACGGUCAUGAGCAGCUCGGACCCUCACAUGAUUAAUUUAUGGAACCUAAAUUCAAUUUGUCAUAUGCAUUUGCAUGGGAUUAUUUAUUUUGUUCUAUUAUUUUUAUUAAGGUUUGGUAUUUACUUAUACCUAGUAACUGCUAAUAAAAUUUUGACCAACUUUAAAAGCAAUGCUCAGCUCUAACCAUCCUCUUUGGUAAGCUUUACACUUCACGUGAGCUCCCACCUUUGGCGAGUUCAUGCACACUAUUCCCCACAACUUGUUGAGCUAUGAACGUAUGUGAGCUCACUCUUGCUGUCUCACACCCCCCCCACAGGUCAAGAACAGGUACCGCAGGAUGAGGCGCUUGGAGGAUGAUGUGAUGAGUUCAUGAGUGGUCUAGGCCGUCGUCUCCCAGUCAACUUUGGGUUGCUGGACCGUUGUCUCCUUAUAAUGUAAUUAUUUAUUUUGUAUAGAACUCCUGUUAUAUAGUAAAGAUGUGACAUUCGAUCCUGUGCCAUGAUUCAUCAUAUGUGUGAGACUUGGUCCCAGCACACCUGGUGAUUAUGUUCGCGCCCGGGUCUUGGUGCCCCUAAAACCCGGGUGUGACAGAAGUGGUAUCAGAGGAAUGUUGACUGUAGGACGAAACCUAGAUAGAACUGGACAACCAUUGUCUACUUACCUUUGCUACUCUGAUUCUUUCUAAACUUUUCUUAAUCUUUUCUCAUCUAUUUCCGCUUUACUCUGAUUAUUCUUACCUUUUCCUUCUAAAGACAAAUGUGGAUUUCACACUUUGAAAUCCCAUACCUAAAGUGACAUUUAGGAAUAGGAGACCUAAUCUUAGGAACAAAAAUAAAACUAUUUUUUUAUCUAUAUGCUUGAAUGCUUGUUCUUAUGAUACUUGUUUGAUUUGGAUCUUUGUUUGAGUGUGAUGGGUUGUGGAGUAAUGUCCACAACUGCAUCUACAUAUACACCUAGACAUAAGGGAAAAUGUUUACAAAAUAGAUCAACUUAGAAUAUCAUCCACUAAAAUAAAAUCUAAUAGAUUCAUCUUAUCUUUAAAAGAUUUUAUCUUAUCCUAAUAGAUCCAUCUUAUCUUAAAAAUAUUCUCUUAUCUUAAUGGAUUCAUCUUACCUUAAAAAGAUUUUUAUCUUAUCCUAACCACUUUGCUUAUCUCAUCCUAGAGUAACAACCAUGACCUAAUCCAAAUUACUUAAAUCUUAUCUAUUCUAAUCUAGUCAUAUCUAAUCUAAUCUAGAUCCUGUCUAAUCUAGUAUGAUCUAAUCUAGUGAGGGUUACUUAAUGCUGGUACAAAGGAUAAGUCCAUACACUUAAGCCUAAAUUGGUGACCUAGAUCAACUCGGCCAUACCCAACAACUUGACCCACAUAACAGAUCUAUCUUAGCCUCUUGUCCCAAACCCGGAUGGAGACACCAAAGAGCAAGAAGGAGGAGAUCAACCUCGACAUGGAAGAAUAGGAUUCAAAUUAGAUCUCGAGAUGAUUCAAGAUUCACCACCUUGGAUGGAGUCUUCCCUUACCAAGUUCUUACCAUCAGUUAACCUCACUCUGACCAUCUCUCCUCUUACCUAACUGUGUGUCUAAACAUAAAAGAUACCCAUGCAUUUUCUAAUUACUUGCUAAAUAGUAUUAAAGAAGAGAGAGAGAGAGACUCUUAGUUUUUGAAUCAAUUAGAAACUACAAUCUCAAUUACAAACCAAUCUUGGUAUAAUCCUUUUUCUUACAAAUCUCGGGGAUGAGAUUUCUGUUAAGGGGGGUAGGAUUUGUAAAGCCCAAAAAUGGUAUAAGGAAAAUAAAGAUAAUAAAAUAAAUAGAUAAAUAGAUAAGUGGGUGUUUUGGGGAUCCCUUGAUUUCCUUUUUAUUUUUCUUUACAUACUCAACUAAUGACAUUAAAUUAUGCAAAUAACAAAUAAAUAAAUAAAUAAAUGUGCACCUCAUGCUGAUGUUAUUUCUGUGAUGCAUCUUAUUUGAAUCAAGGAAUCAUAAUUUAAAUUGACCUCAAAUAAAAAUAUAAAACAAAGGGGAGAAAGGAAAUUUUAAUAAGUCAUUCCUUUCUUCGAUAUUUAAACAAUAGGGAGAAGAAUAAAUAAUAGUGAUAAAUAAAUAAUUUCAGUGCAAGUAGUAGAUGUGUUAGAAUUUGGUUUGAUGAUUAGAACCUAGAGAUUAAAACCAAAUUCGAAUUCGGUUUGAAUUUUUAUUUAAAACAGAAAUUUUAAAAGAAGAAUAAAAACAAAAAAAGAGAAAACGCACCUGGGCUGAUUCUGGCACCCUCGGCCCAUUUCCCCCUUCAUCCACCCGCGCAGCCCACCCAAGCUCCUGGCCUAGUAAUACACUCGCGCUCGGCCCAGGGGGAAGAGAAUCACGUCGCGCCUGCAUUUCCAUUCGGUGGGACCAGUUUGUCUGUGAUACAUCGGCUGCCAUCGUGGGACCCACAUCCCAGCUGCAUCUUCCUCCUUAUCGCAGCGAACAGAUGUUCCCCUUCUCUAGAGUUUGUUGCGAUUCUCCAUGUCCCGCCGUGCACGCACCGUAGCUUCGCUUCGCGCUCGCGCGCGGACUCGGGUUCACGGUGGGCCCCAUCGGUCGGAAGCAUCCCCAUAACAGAACCUCUCUGAACUUGACCGCGAAACACGGAGUCCGUCCGCGGUGCUCGGCACCUCCUGGCCGGAAUCCUUCACCUCCCAAGAAUAAAUGUGU